rnacentral:tRNA from 1 species
CACUAAGAAGCUAAAAUAGGUCGUAGCAUUAGCCUUUUAAGCUAAGCAUUGGUGGCUCCUAAUCACCCUUAGUGA